AUCAUAGCCUUUAAUAUAUUAAGUGUUAUGAAAUCUCCAGACUAGCAAUUUUGAGGAAUACAAGUACAGUCUAUCAAGCACUUGAGAACUUCAUUGAGGAGUGAAGCAUGAAGUCUUGGAUUCUGUUUAGACAGUCUUUGGUUUGGAGAGAUCAUACUCAAAGGCCUAAUGGAGACAGAGACAGCGUAGUCUGACCUUGGAAAAGGGCUAUAAUCUACUGUCUUUAUAGAGAUGAGGAAGCAGCUUUGACAAGUAGAAGUUAAACCCUAGAUGGUCCAGAACUAUCUAGCCAUUGCUUAAUCUUCUUAAUAUGAUCAGCUGAGUAACUGAUUUUCAGCCUUCUCCUGGUUGCAGAUAUGAGUAUAUAACCAAAUGGUACCCUCUCAGCCUAUUUUGUCAUUCUUAUGGAGAACAGUAAAGGAAAAUACCUAUUUUUUCAGUGAAAGGCACUCUGCAGAAUGGAGACAUGGAGCUGAAUCCCAGUCCAGCUUUCAUAUAGAAGACUCUUCC